GGAAUUUUCCGCAAUGGGCGAAAGCCUGACGGAGCAACGCCGCGUGAGGGAUGAAGGCCCCUGGGCUGUAAACCUCUUUUAUCAAGGAAGAAGAUCUGACGGUACUUGAUGAAUAAGCCACGGCUAAUUCCGUGCCUGCAGCCGCGGUAAUACGGGAGUGGCAAGCGUUAUCCGGAAUUAUUGGGCGUAAAGCGUCCGCAGGCGGCCCUUCAAGUCUGCUGUUAAAAAGUGGAGCUUAACUCCAUCGUGGCAGUGGAAACUGUUGGGCUUGAGUGUGGUAGGGGCAGAGGGAAUUCCCGGUGUAGCGGUGAAAUGCGUAGAUAUCGGGAAGGACACCAGUGGCGAAGGCGCUCUGCUGGGCCAUCACUGACGCUCAUGGACGAAAGCCAGGGGAGCGAAAGGGAUUAGAUACCCCUGUAGUC
rnacentral:rRNA from 1 species